AACCAUGCGAGGUUCUGAGAACUGCGGCGAGGGUCGCCUCGAGAGACGGUUUCUGAGUUCCUUGAACUUUGUAAGAUGCAGACAGCAGACCACCCUGAGGUGGUCCCAUUCCUCUAUAACCGGCAGCAACGUGCCCACUCUCUGUUUUUGGCCUCGGCGGAGUUCUGCAACAUCCUCUCUAGGGUCCUGUCUCGGGCCCGGAGCCGGCCAGCCAAGCUCUAUGUCUACAUCAAUGAGCUCUGCACUGUUCUCAAGGCCCACUCAGCCAAAAAGAAGCUGAACUUGGCCCCUGCCGCCACCACCUCCAAUGAGCCCUCUGGGAAUAACCCUCCCACACACCUCUCCUUGGACCCCACAAAUGCUGAAAACACUGCCUCUCAGUCUCCAAGGACCCGUGGUUCCCGGCGGCAGAUCCAGCGCUUGGAGCAGCUGCUGGCGCUCUAUGUGGCAGAGAUCCGGCGGCUGCAGGAAAAGGAGUUGGAUCUCUCAGAAUUGGAUGACCCAGACUCCGCAUACCUGCAGGAGGCACGGUUGAAGCGUAAGCUGAUCCGCCUCUUUGGGCGACUAUGUGAGCUGAAAGACUGCUCUUCACUGACCGGCCGUGUCAUAGAGCAGCGCAUCCCCUACCGUGGCACCCGCUACCCAGAGGUUAACAGGCGCAUUGAGCGGCUCAUCAACAAGCCAGGGCCUGAUACCUUCCCUGACUAUGGGGAUGUGCUUCGGGCUGUAGAGAAGGCAGCUGCCCGACACAGCCUU
rnacentral:sRNA from 1 species